UACGUAGGGGGCAAGCGUUGUUCGGAAUUACUGGGCGUAAAGGGCGCGUAGGCGGCACGGCAAGUCGGGGAGUGAAAGCCCGGGGCUCAACCCCGGAGGGUCUUCCGAAACUGCCGAGCUAGAGUGCGGAAGAGGCAACCGGAAUUCCCAGUGUAGCGGUGAAAUGCGUAGAUAUUGGGAAGAACACCAGAGGCGAAGGCGGGUUGCUGGGCCGACACUGACGCUGAGGCGCGAAAGCCAGGGGAGCAAACGGG
rnacentral:rRNA from 1 species